rnacentral:rRNA from 1 species
UAGGGAAUCUUCCGCAAUGGACGCAAUUCUGACGGAGCAACGCCGCGUGAGUGAAGAAGGAUUUCGGUUCGUAAAACUCUGUUGUUAGAGAAGAACAGCGCAUAGAGUAACUGUUAUGCGUGUGACGGUAUCUAACCAGAAAGCCACGGCUAACUACGUGCCAGCAGCCGCGGUAAUACGUAGGUGGCAAGCGUUGUCCGGAUUUAUUGGGCGUAAAGCGAGCGCAGGCGGUCAAUUAAGUCUGAUGUGAAAGCCCCCGGCUCAACCGGGGAGGGUCAUUGGAAACUGGUUGACUUGAGUGCAGAAGAGGAGAGUGGAAUUCCAUGUGUAGCGGUGAAAUGCGUAGAUAUAUGGAGGAACACCAGUGGCGAAGGCGACUCUCUGGUCUGUAACUGACGCUGAGGCUCGAAAGCGUGGGUAGCAAACAGG